GCAGUGGUGGUUCAAUGGUAGAAUUAUUGCCUUCCAUAUAGGAGACCCAGGUUCAAUUCCUGGCCAAUGUA
rnacentral:tRNA from 1 species